UUAGAAAACCAAAUAAGUUAAAAUAUAUUUUAAAUACAAAAAACUUAAACAAUGAACCAUUUAUUUAUUUUUUCUUCAAAAUUUAAAUAUCCAAACCCGACCCAAAAUAUCUGAACCUGAACAUAAAAUACCUGAACCCGGAUCGAAGUGUAGAAAUACCCGAACCCGGAUCGAAGUGUAGAAACACCCGAACGAGUUUUAUACCUUUAUACUGAAAUACCGAUACAAACCGUGUAUCCAAACGCCCACUCAUAC
rnacentral:lncRNA from 1 species